rnacentral:rRNA from 1 species
CCUACGGGAGGCAGCAGUGAGGAAUAUUGGUCAAUGGGCGAGAUCCUGAACCAGCCAAGCCGCGUGAGGGAAGACGGCCCUAUGGGUUGUAAACCUCUUUUGUCGGGGAACAAAACCCGGGACGCGUCCCGGACUGCGUGUAUCCUACGAACAAGCAUCGGCUCACUCCGUGCCAGCAGCCGCGGUAAUACGGAGGAUUCGAGCGUUAUCCGGUUUUAUUGGGUUUAAAGGGUGCGUAGGCGGGCUGUUAAGUCAGCGGGAAAAUUUCGGGGCUCAACCCCGUCGAGCCGUUGAAACUGGCAGACUUGAGUGGGCGAGAAGUACGCGGAAUGCGCGGUGUAGCGGUGAAAUGCAUAGAUAUCGCGCAGAACUCCGAUUGCGAAGGCAGCGUACCGGAGCCAGACUGACGCUGAGGCACGAAAGCGUGGGGAUCGAACAGGAUUAGAUACCCGAGUAGUC